rnacentral:rRNA from 1 species
AGAUUGAACGCUGGCGGCAUGCCUUACACAUGCAAGUCGAACGGCAGCACGGGAGCAAUCCUGGCGGCGAGUGGCGAACGGGUGAGUAAUAUAUCGGAACGUGCCCAGUCGUGGGGGAUAACGCAGCGAAAGCUGUGCUAAUACCGCAUACGAUCUAUGGAUGAAAGCGGGGGAUCGCAAGACCUCGCGCGAUUGGAGCGGCCGAUAUCAGAUUAGCUAGUUGGUGGGGUAAAAGCCUACCAAGGCGACGAUCUGUAGCUGGUCUGAGAGGACGACCAGCCACACUGGAACUGAGACACGGUCCAGACUCCGUACGGGAGCAGCAGUGGGGAAUUUGGACAAUGGGCGCAAGCCUG